rnacentral:rRNA from 1 species
UACGUAGGGUGCGAGCGUUAAUCGGAAUUACUGGGCGUAAAGCGUGCGCAGGCGGUUUUGUAAGCCAGAUGUGAAAGCCCCGGGCUUAACCUGGGAAUGGCAUUUGGGACUGCAAGGCUUGAGUGCGGCAGAGGAGACUGGAAUUCCCGGUGUAGCAGUGAAAUGCGUAGAUAUCGGGAGGAAUACCGAUGGCGAAGGCAGGUCUCUGGGCUGACCCUGACGCUCAUGCACGAAAGCGUGGGGAGCAAACAGG